CGCAUGUCCGUGACGUCAUCACGGGGCGGCCUCCCUCUCCGCCAUGGCCGCCGCAGCAGCAGGCUCCCGCUCCGAGGAUCCAGAGGAAUUCAGGAAGCCACCGGGAAGAAGGAAAUGGAUUCAAGGCACCUAGCAUCGUAAUUAGCCCAGUUUUGGUUAAUUAAGGCUACCAGGGCCUCGGCCCCUCAUCUCCCAGGGCUGAAAUUCCAUGAGAGUGCCGUGACCGAGACGUGGAGCUCCGUCCUGGCAGGAGUUACCGGCUGACACCACUGCCCAGGCUCCCUCCGUGGUGAGGCAGAGGGAUCAGGAAGCCCCCAGAAGGAGGAAGCGGGUGCCAGGCUGUUGUGACUGUAAUUAACGCAGCUCUGUUAAGGAGGCAGCAGGAGCUGCGUGCUGGGUGUCACCUGGCAGCUGCCAGCUCAGCCCACCCUUCCUGGGCCCGUGAUCCCACAGGGAUCUGUGCAGAGGCCCUGUGGAAGAGCCAGGAGGAUUCAGCGACACCAGAGUCAGGGAAUUAAACGUGAAUCGUGCUAA